GCAAAUCUCUUAAAGCCGUUCUCAGUUCGGAUUGUAGGCUGCAACUCGCCUACAUGAAGUCGGAAUCGCUAGUAAUCGCGGAUCAGCAUGCCGCGGUGAAUACGUUCCCGGGCCUUGUACACACCGCCCGCCACACCAUGAGAGUUUGUAACACCCAAAGCCGGUGGGGUAACCUUUUGGAGCCAGCCGUCUAAGGUGGGACAGAUGAUUGGGGUGAAGUCGUAACAAGGUAAC
rnacentral:rRNA from 1 species